UCAUCUCAAAAUUGAAGCAGG
rnacentral:piRNA from 1 species